AAAAUGCAAGAACACUCAGGAUAAUAUCAGUCUUAAUUUCGAGUCUGCACAAGACAAGUGAAGAACCCGAAAUGCAAGGAAGGUUUUUCUGGAAUUUGGAAGAGAAAUACGUUUUUAGUUCUUGUGUUAUUUUUCUGAAUAGAAUCAUAUAUUUAUAGGAGAUAUGGAUGUUGUUUCAAAAGUUUGCAACCUUUGAUGAAAUAACACCAUUUCACCAUAAAACACAAUGUUUCAUAUAUGACACUAUUUCAUGAAAAGAUAUGAAAAUUG
rnacentral:lncRNA from 1 species